CGCGUGUAGCAGUGAAAUGCGUAGAUAUGCGGAGGAACACCGAUGGCGAAGGCAAUCCCCUGGGCCUGCACUGACGCUCAUGCACGAAAGCGUGGGGAGCAAACAGGAUUAGAUACCCUGGUAGUCCACGCCCUAAACGAUGUCAACUGGUUGUUGGGAGGGUUUCUUCUCAGUAACGUAGCUAACGCGUGAAGUUGACCGCCUGGGGAGUACGGCCGCAAGGUUGAAACUCAAAGGGAUUGACGGGGACCCGCACAAGCGGUGGAUGAUGUGGUUUAAUUCGAUGCAACGCGAAAAACCUUACCUACCCUUGACAUGUCUGGAAUCCUGAAGAGAUUUGGGAGUGCUCGAAAGAGAACCAGAACACAGGUGCUGCAUGGCCGUCGUCAGCUCGUGUCGUGAGAUGUUGGGUUAAGUCCCGCAACGAGCGCAACCCUUGUCAUUAGUUGCUACGAAAGGGCACUCUAAUGAGACUGCCGGUGACAAACCGGAGGAAGGUGGGGAUGACGUCAGGUCAUCAUGGCCCUUAUGGGUAGGGCUACACACGUCAUACAAUGGCCGGGACAGAGGGCUGCCAACCCGCGAGGGGGAGCUAAUCCCAGAAACCCGGUCGUAGUCCGGAUCGUAGUCUGCAACUCGACUGCGUGAAGUCGGAAUCGCUAGUAAUCGCGGAUCAGCUUGCCGCGGUGAAUACGUUCCCGGGUCUUGUACACACCGCCCGUCACACCAUGGGAGCGGGUUCUGCCAGAAGUAGUUAGCCUAACCGCAAGGAGGGCGAUUACCACGGCAGGGUUCGUGACUGGGGUG
rnacentral:rRNA from 1 species